GAAGGAACAUGUUGGAGGGAUCCAUGGAUAGUCGACCAAAACGGAAAAGAUUUCUCCACUUGUUCUCUUGAGUUCGAUCAUAUCAGGAAGAGGAGUAGUCAAGUCUGCAUCAACCUUUACAUGGGCAAGAUUGACGUCGGUCUAGUGGAAGCCCAGUGAGAUGAGCCCAGAGGGGAAUGGCAGAAAGGUCUAUUGGAGCUGCUUCUUGAUCCGAAGUCCACGUGGAGACUUGAAACAUUGCGGUUCCUACGUUGGUUCUGAUAUCUAGCUUCUGGCCCUUGCCCCAAGGAAGUUGAGCACACUUUGUAUCGCUUGAUAGGAUGGCAUUUUUGCCAAGAAGGAACCAACUAUGAACUCUUUAUGCAUCUCUGCUCCUCUUCGAAACACAUCAUCAGGAACUGUCACUUGAGGGAUUCCUGCUUCAGAGUAUUCUUUUGGAGCUAGGCGCGAAAGGGAUUUAUUUGCAACGUGGCUUACUUUCUGAGCCCAAGUUUUUGAAGGGGGGGAAGUAGCUGAGUGGGUAGGUUCUGGUGUGGUAGAGGGGGUGUUGUUACUGGUAGUGAUAGGGACAGAAGGAUUGAGGUUCGAACGGGGGGUAGAGGGAUAGUUGUUUUUCUGGCUGAUUUUUGUUGGGAGGGAAAAGAUUGUGGUUUUUGCUUUUGGUUUGCAGGGUGGAAGUCAGUAUGGAUAGGAAGGGAUUUUUUUAGGAGGGAGAAUUGCAAAUCCCUGAAAGUUUUCUGCUUCACUAUUCAUGAGAACAGUGCUAGUUGCCUCAACCUCAGAUCCGGUCUGAGAUGAUGCAGAUCCGGCUUCAGGGCCAGUAGUAGGGGGUGAAGAAGUAGAGGGGAUGGGGUGAGCAGCAGCAGAGGACGCAGUCUCCACAAGGGAAGAAGUUUGCUUCUUUGCUACAGAG